rnacentral:rRNA from 1 species
GAUGAACGCUGGCGGCGUGCCUAAUACAUGCAAGUCGAGCGAACGGACGAGAAGCUUGCUUCUUUGAUGUUAGCGGCGGACGGGUGAGUAACACGUGGAUAACCUACCUAUAAGACUGGGAUAACUUCGGGAAACCGGAGCUAAUACCGGAUAAUAUUUUGAACCGCAUGGUUCAAAAGUGAAAGACGGUCUUGCUGUCACUUAUAGAUGGAUCCGCGCUGCAUUAGCUAGUUGGUAAGGUAACGGCUUACCAAGGCAACUAUGCAUAGGCGACCUGAGAGGGUGGUCUUCCCCACUGCAACGGAGACGCGGUCCAGACUACUACGCGAGGCAGCGGUAGGGUAUCUUCCACUAGGCGCUGAAGCCUGACGUAGCAACGCCGCGUGAGUUAUGAAAGUCUUCUCAUCUGGAAACUCUGUUAUUAUGGAAGAACAUAUGUGUAAGUAACGUGUCACAGCUUGACGGUACCUAAUCAGAAAGCCACGGCUAACUACGUG